rnacentral:lncRNA from 1 species
GGCAAUUUUAUUUUUUAAAAAUGAAAUAUUCAAAGUACUUUUCUUUCAAAUAUCAACACAUAAUGUUUAACUUUAAAUAUUUACAGCAUGUUGUUGUGAUGCUCUUGUAGAAAAAUGCAUGCUUCUGGCCUGAAAGCCAGAGCAAAAUGCAAAAGACCAUUUAACUGCAGCCAGAGAACAUGAACCUGUACAGUAUCCAGUCACUUUUCAGCACAGGAGAGCAGGAAUACAAAAUUGGAACCUAUUGUUUCCUAGCAACAUGGCUCAGACCAUUAUAACACAAUUUUCAAUAUGAUUAGAACCUCUAACUGUUGUUAUACAGAAACUGAAAACUUGGCAUACACUGUAAACAUCUUUACUUUUCAUGAGAAAGUAAGCAGCUAAAAAGAAUGUUUUUCUGACAUAAAGGCUAUACUUCUCUUUUUCGCCUUCUUUUUUACUGAUGCUUUUGCCAGAAGAAUAGUAAAGAUUUAGACGUUGUCAUGAUUCAUACAAGUAACAUAUUUUUCAAGGACACAAUCUGAUAUACUAACAUUUAUUUAAGAGGUUAAAGUCCACCACUAAAUCUAAGGAAAGAUUUUUAACUGCCAAACACGUUUCCUUUGACAAAUAAUGUAAGAUGACAACUGCCAAGACAAAAUCCACAGCAAGUUUAACUCUAAGUAUUUUCAGUUACUGUUUAGAAAGUAAUUUCUUCUUAUGAACAGUAGUAUAUUUGGUCCUUAAUAGCUUUCACAUGAAGGACACACUGAAAAGAAUAGUCACUAUUUAUGGUUGAAUUCUUUUUUGUUGUUUGUUUUCUGUAUUUUUAAAUUUUACUUUGCUUUUUUUUGUUUUUUUGUUUUUUGCGCUUUUUUUGUUUUUUUUUUGUUUUGUUUUGUUUUGUUUUGUUUUGUUUUCUUUGCAGAAGAAAGAACCUUUAUAGAAGGCUGUGGAAGAGCUGAAGUACUAGUCAGGUCAGCUAUGUGUAUGUGAAUUUCUUCAAGAAAACAGGAAUGUUCCAUUCCAUCUGUAGCCUUAUGUAUGUCUUUCCACAAGCUAUAUAUAAUAUGCUCCAAUGUCUCCAAAAUUUUCUUUUCAAUACUUCGUUACUGUACUUUUGCUUCUAUUACCAAUGAACUCCAUUACAAUCACCCUUACAUGAACACAUCUUCAUAAAUGCAAAAACUUUGCCCUGACUCUCUUAAGUGAUAUUAUAGUGGGGCCUGGUCUAGUUAAAAAUAUAUUUUUAAAGAAAGAAAAAAAGAAAAAGAGUCAAAAUAACAUGAUGGAAUGCUUGAAACUGUGUCAACAGUGAUGAAAAUGUCUCAUGAAAAUUAUAACUUAAUUUCAUACCUGUCUACAUAGGUAGCAUGUGAAUUCCAAAUUAUACAUUGUCAAGUUUUCAUACAUUUGGCUAUGUCGUAUAUAUUAUAUAUAUGUAGUCUAUAUAUUAUAGAUCUUCUAGAUAAAUUGACAGUAAAGGACACACUUAUUUUAUACAUUUUUUGGGUUAAAAAUAAAUCAUAUACUUAUUUAUAUGGUAAAAGUGUUUUGUUGCAAGUUAGUAUGAAUUGAGAUUUAUUUCCGUUUCCUUCAGGAGUCAUGCUUCUAAUCAAUAACGAUUAGAAUGACAACUAAAAAUAAACAUAUUUAAAUGUGUUAAACUUUGAACUUUUCAGUUCAUUUGGAUCUCUAGACUGUAGUGCAAGAGUGAAAACAAAACAAAACAGAAAAGCACAAACAAAAUGGGCUUAAGUAGGAAAAAGAAACAACCAUGGAGUAUUCCCUGCCUCCAGCCCAGAAUGUUCUUCAUAGGAGAGUCCAACUACUAUGCUCUCACUUUAACUUACUCGAAUGGUGUGUGGCUGUGCAGUGUCAGCCAUCUGUCUGCUGGGUAUGAGAAAUUCAUAUGUUUCUCUGAAAAAUGCUUUUACUUUCAUCAGGAAAUGCAAAUGAAUUGUUCUUUCAAUAAUUUAAACUGCAGAACUGCAAGUCAAUGAAGGCAUUCUUUCUAUUCAGCUGAAUAGGAAGUGAUAUACUCAAUAUCUCCAUCUUCUUAUUAAGAAAUGCCAAAAUGUUUCUCUUCGAUUUACUACUGAUUAGUAGUUUUGUUUUUUUUUUCUUUCCUCCCUCAAGCUUUAGGAGUUGUAAAAAGAAUAAUAAUAGUUCAAGGCAGUAUUAAAACCACAGCUGUAAGUAAUAAAAAGUGCAUUUCCUGAAUAUAAUACAAAUGUAACUUUAAGAAACUAAAGGCACGAACCAACCAAAUACGUAUUACAAACUAGAAAUGCACAGUUAAAGGUAAUCACUAUUAAGUAAAAGCUUCAAAUAUUUGUUUCUAAUGGAUAUUUAAAGCAGUUUGAAA